UUGGAAGAAAAGCUAUGACAAACCUAGACAGCAUAUUAAGAAGCAGACAGCCCUUUGCCAACAAAGAUCCGUCUAGUCAAAGCUAUGGUUUUUCCAGGAGGCAUAUACAGAUGUGAGAAUUGGACUAUAAAGAAAGCUGAGUGCUGAAGAAUUGAUGC